rnacentral:rRNA from 1 species
UGGGGAAUAUUGCACAAUGGGCGCAAGCCUGAUGCAGCCAUGCCGCGUGUAUGAAGAAGGCCUUCGGGUUGUAAAGUACUUUCAGCGGGGAGGAAGGGAGUAAAGUUAAUACCUUUGCUCAUUGACGUUACCCGCAGAAGAAGCCCCGGCUAACUCCGUGCCAGCAGCCGCGGUAAUACGGAGGGUGCAAGCGUUAAUCGGAAUUACUGGGCGUAAAGCGCACGCAGGCGGUUUGUUAAGUCAGAUGUGAAAUCUCCGGGCUCAACCUGGGAACUCCAUCUGAUACUGGGAUGCUUGAGUCUCGUAGAGGGGGGUAGAAUUCCAGGUGUAGCGGUGAAAUGCGUCGAGAUCUGGAGGAAUACCGGUGGCGAAGGCGGCGCCCUGGUCAAAGACUGACGCUCAGGAGCGAAAGCGUGGGGAGCAAACAGG